UACGUAGGGACCAAGCGUUGUUCGGAUUUACUGGGCGUAAAGGGCGCGUAGGCGGCAAUUCAAGUCAUCUGUGAAAUCUCCGGGCUUAACCCGGAACGGUCAGAUGAUACUGCUUUGCUAGAGUGCGGAAGGGGCAAUCGGAAUUCUCGGUGUAGCGGUGAAAUGCGUAGAUAUCGAGAGGAACACCUGAGGUGAAGACGGGUUGCUGGGCCGACACUGACGCUGAGGCACGAAACCGUGGGGAGCAAACAGG
rnacentral:rRNA from 1 species